rnacentral:rRNA from 1 species
UGAAUCAUCGAAUCUUUGAACGCACAUUGCGCCCCUUGGUAUCCCGAGGGGCAUGCCUGUUCGAGCGUCAUU